GUGGGGAAUAUUGGACAAUGGGCGCAAGCCUGAUCCAGCCAUGCCGCGUGAGUGAUGAAGGCCUUAGGGUUGUAAAGCUCUUUCAGUGGGGACGAUAAUGACGGUACCCACAGAAGAAGCCCCGGCUAACUUCGUGCCAGCAGCCGCGGUAAUACGAAGGGCGCUAGCGUUGUUCGGAUUUACUGGGCGUAAAGCGCACGUAGGCGGAACGUCAAGUCGGGGGUGAAAUCUUGGAGCUCAACUCCAGAACUGCCUUCGAUACUGGCGAUCUUGAGUCCGGAAGAGGUGAGUGGAACUCCUAGUGUAGAGGUGGAAUUCGUAGAUAUUAGGAAGAACACCAGUGGCGAAGGCGGCUCACUGGUCCGGUACUGACGCUGAGGUGCGAAAGCGUGGGGAGCAAACAGGAUUAGAAACCCUUGUAGUCC
rnacentral:rRNA from 1 species